UCAGGAUCUUUGACAGCAUCAAAUGUUAAUGCGAAAAAAGUUGAACUUUUCGAACAUACUUUUUCAUCUGAUUAAAUCGAAGAGUCAGUUCACUUGGAUCAGUGCAACCAUUCCAUCGAUGGUAAAGAUCAGCGUACAAGACCAGGUAUAUAACGUACUUGCAUUUCCAAUCUUCUUCUUCUGUAAGUUGUUGAAGAUUUACGUAUAUUUGUUAAAAAAGUUUUCUGUGGGUAAAACAUUUCCACAUAAUGAGCAAUAAUUAUGUGUCAAAUCUGUUCCUUAGCUACAAGCCAUUAUUUCUCAUUUACUAACCAGUCUCAAUUUCACGACCAAAAAAAGUCGAUUCGUCCUUCAUCCACUCAUGAAUAUCAUCUAUUGAAAUCCUGUGAGCUUUAGAUAAUGAAAAAAAGAAAAUCUACUGCUUUCAUGUGAGUCGUAAAUAGUUUAUAUCCAAAAUCGGAGUCAAAUAUAAUCAAAAGGAAAUACAAACAUAUACUCACACGGAAAGCACCUGCAUAACUUUUCAAAAUCUAAUUUUGCAGUUUCUUUCACGUCAACAGCUCGCUUCAUCCUUGCCAUCAGCAAAUUGCCUCAAAAAACAAAAUUUAAUUCAUACCUGCUAUUACAUAAUAUGAUGACAUGUUAGCUAUGUAUAUGUUCAAACAAAGAAAGAAAAACUAGCUAUACCUAAA